rnacentral:rRNA from 1 species
AUUGAACGCUGGCGGCAGGCCUAACACAUGCAAGUCGAACGAGUUGCGGACGGGUGAGUAAUGUCUGGGAAACUGCCAGAGGGAGGGGGAUAACGACUGGACACGGUCGCUAAUACCGCAUACGAUCGGAUGCGCCCAGAUGGGAGUAUAUAGUAGGUGGUGUAAAGGCUCACCUAGGCGACUCUCCCUAGCUGGUCUGAGAGGAUGACCAGCCCACAGGGAACUGAGACACGGUCCAGACUCGUACGGGAGGCCGCAGUGGGGAAUAUUGCACAAUGGGGGCAAGACGAAUGAAGCCAGGACGAGUGUAUGAAGAAGGCCUUGGGGUUGUAAAGUACUUUCAGCGGGGAGGCGUUACCCGCAGAAGAAGCACCGGCUAACUCCGUGCCAGCAGCCGCGGUAAUAC